rnacentral:tmRNA from 1 species
GGGGGCGAUUCGGAUUCGACGCCGGUAUCAACUCCCAGGGUGCAUGCCGAGAGGGUAGUGACUCUCGUAAAUCAAUCGCUGCAACUGACUAGUUGCCGAAGACACGCAGUACGCCCUGGCCGCCUGAGCGCGGCUAGCGAUUGCCGAUGGGAUUCCCGUAAACCGUCGUCCGCAAUCGUCAUUCAGAACGGGAUCGCGGCAAGACGCGCCUGGCGUUGCGCCGUUAAACCUUUCCAGGCUCGCCCCGCUCGCCCUGCCCGUCGGGUAGACCGGGGUCAACUCAGUAGACGAAGCUAAGCAUGUAGACCCCGGGGCCGCGAACUGACGGACGGGAGUUCAACUCUCCCCGCCUCCACCA